rnacentral:rRNA from 1 species
CGCGUAGGCGGCCUUCUAAGUCGAACGUGAAAUCCCCGGGCUCAACCCGGGAACUGCGUCCGAUACUGGAAGGCUUGAAUCCGGGAGAGGGAUGUGGAAUUCCAGGUGUAGCGGUGAAAUGCGUAGAUAUCUGGAGGAACACCGGUGGCGAAGGCGACAUCCUGGACCGGUAUUGACGCUGAGGCGCGAAAGCCAGGGGAGCAAACG